GUGAGAUCGAAGAUACUCAUGUGCCCAAGGUGUGUGCAAAUUUUCGUGCUAUUUGGACAUUCCAGGAGCUCGUGGCGAGGAAAAACAGUUAAUCUGCACGCUUGUGAACAAUAAAUUUGAAAUAAAAUAGCAAGAAAAUUU